UACGGAGGAUGCAAGCGUUAUCCGGAUUCAUUGGGUUUAAAGGGUGCGUAGGCGGGCUAUUAAGUCAGUGGUGAAAUCCUGCAGCUUAACUGCAGAACUGCCGUUGAUACUGAUAGUCUUGAGUUUGGUUAAGGUAGGCGGAAUGUGUAAUGUAGCGGUGAAAUUCUUAGAUAUUACACAGAACACCAAUUGCGUAGGCAGCUUACUGAGCCGACACUGACGCUGAGGCACGAAAGCGUGGGGAUCAAACAGGA
rnacentral:rRNA from 1 species